GAGCACAGUAAGAUCCUUGUCACUAGAGCACAGUAAGAUCCUUGUCACUAGAGCCCAAUAAGAUCCUUGUCACUAGAGCCCAGUAAGAUCCUUGUCACUAGAGCCCAGUAAGAUCCUUAUCACUAGAGCACAGUAA